CAGAAACGCCAUUACUGUGUGUUUCCCACUGAAGCUAUUAAGCUAACCAUUUAUCAUGCUUAGCGGACGCGUCUGCUUCUUUAAAUUCUCGAGCUCAUUACAGCAGGAUUGAUUCUGAUUGGUUGGCAAUGUUUUUAUCGUUCAUCAGAAAAAAAAUCGUUCUGAAAGUGAUUCCAACGAUAUCGUUUCUCUGUGCUUUUAUCGUUAUAGUUGUGGUGUGGACUCCGCUAUUCUUUAAUAUUGAGAACGAUUUUUAGAACUAUAUCUUUAUCUUUGUCUUUAUAAUUAUCGUGCUUGGUGUGAACGGGCCUUUUGGCAUUGUUUGGAACAGGUGAUACGGUUUCUAAAAGUUUCAUGGAGGAAGUUUGGAGAAAUGUGUGAAAUCAGUAAAGUGCGCAGCGCCGACCGAUCAUCGAUGAAACAGAAACAAACAAAUGCAGAGGAGACGUAAAGGACGACAGAGCGUACAAAUUAAAGAGAUUGGCCUGUCAUAAUCUAUGCCGCUGAGUAAUCAGUGUUGGAUUGUGUUCUGCUACAAUGGCACCCGAAAAAGGACGGCCAGAAAAAGUCCCAUCCCAGGAAGGUGACAUCAUCCUCUUUGCCAAAGAAAGAUGACGACCGCCACACCUGGAGUACUGCAGGGCAAAGAGAAGAUUGAAAUUGUGGAGUCUCAGUGGGAUUAAUUGAAGGUGGAAAGCAAGAGGGAGCGAGAAGUGGAAAGACGUGGAAAACAGGGGAAACAUGGAAAAACAAUCUCUUGCGUCCCUGAGGGAUGGAGUGAUGCGAAGAACUCGUCUAAGGGUGUUGAACAGAGAUGCUUGGAAAGUCUGCUCUCCACCUGAGUGAAGAGUCAAGGUCAUACACGGGCUACGAUUCAUCAACAUCGGCCCAAAUCACAGAUCUACCCGUGAGACACAAAAACAGAUAUCACCCCGAUGUCCUCCUCCUGCUGCUGGAGCAGGGAGAGAUGCCUCUCAAGGUCCACUCGGCGAUCUUCAUGGAGAUUGCCUACCACUCCUACAACCUGGACAGCGGCCUCUGAACAUUCUUCCAGACGAGCCUCAACGAGGAGUGUAUAUAUAUAUUCUGCCGACGGCAUUCAGAAUAUGUGUGCUACCCAAAUAAAAUUGACACAAAAUUAAUUGGUUUAUCAAGCUAGAUGAUGCAUUAGAAAAGGGGCUCAUCUCCUGUUUCCAAAAUGCAUCACACAGUGCUUGAAAAAGCUGUAAACUAAUUCCACAUUGCACAAGGUGCGAACAUCCUUACCCCUGUUUCACACAUACUCCGUCUGCAGUGCGUAUGCAUUGCAGGGCCUUAGCUGGGGUCAGCAGGGACCCGGUGAAGGUUGUACCAGUGGGCCCUGUUUGAAAUUGUUUAAUUUGUAUGUUCGUUUAUUUUUAUUUAUUUGUGCUAUUUACACAAUGUUUAAGUUUUUUUCAAGUUUGUAGGUGUCAAGGUACAGAAAACAAAUAAUUAAAUGUAAAAUAGCACUGGAUAGUCUUCAAUGUAAAAAUGAAAUAUACAAUCAAACAAUUCAGACACCUUCAACAUUUCUCACAUUAUUAUAAUUUUGCUAUAUAUAUCAAAAAUGAUAUCUGGUGUCUGAAUAAUUUUUGGUUUGACUGUUAAAACUACAAAGAAAUUCAGUCAAGAGCAGUGAGUGAUUUUCAUUUUCAUUUUCUUGGAUUAACAUUACAGCAGCCAGCAGCUAAAUUAGGCAAGGACACUUUAAGAGACGAUGAACGCAUCCAAUAUAAUUCACAUCCCAUUUUUUUCCUCAACUGUUUACUUUCACUUAAGAAAUAACUGACAGUUUUUUCGAGCAUAAUUUCCAAGGUGGAUAUUUUUACAUAUUUUGUAUGUAUUUGUCGGCACAAGAGCAAAAAUAAGCAAAUUCGAUGUUCAAGUGUUUUGAGACGCCUUUCUCUGCGUGAGCCCUUAACACCAGAACACCUCAGUGCUGAAUUGGUCUCUUUCACAUCUUUUUGUUUGUUCAAACUGCGAUUUGUAUUUGUUCGUUCAGGUGCAGGAGGGACUUCGAGGAGAACUUUGCAGAAGUGAGCUCGGUUCAGUGUCGCAGUCCGUGAUACGCGGCUCUCUCUCUCUCCGCACCGAACACAGCACGCGAGUAACCAGCUACUCUGUUCAGCUUUUUCGCGUCUUGUGUUUGGAUGCUUUAAUGUUUAAAUUGACAAGCGAUAAGGGUUAAAACAUGUGAAAAAGAUAAGCUUUCGUGACGAUGCGCAGCAGUGGCCCGCCAACUGUCCUGAGCAUCUUUUUAGGCUGUCCUUAGCCAGUCGGUUAUAUAAAUUUCUUCAAAAUCUUUGAAAACCUGCAUGACAUUCUUUGCAAGCUGUUCUUUCACCACAAUAAAAGUAAAUGGUGACAAUGGCUGUCAAGUAAACAAGCUACUGUAGGUUGUCUGAAGACUUGAGUUGUAUAGAAUACUUUUAUGACAGUUUGAUGUGUCUAUUUUGAUGCCUUUUGGAUUUGUUUACUUUCACUGAUUGAAAGAGUGGCAUGAACAUUCUGCUAAACAUCUACAACCCCCCCCCCCAUAUUAUCUCAAUAAAAUAUUUAUUUGACAUACUGAA